rnacentral:lncRNA from 1 species
CAGCAUUUGUACCUAAUAUGUCUCUGUAUUGUUUUGCCCAUCUACGCAGGGGGCAGAACUCGGAAGGCUGGCGGCUGGCGGAGACCACCCAUGUGGCGGUAGAACUUGGGCGGCUUUUGGCAGAAAGAUUUAUUGUAAUAGACUACUUGGAAUGGUGGUGGAAAUGCAAAUCAAAGCAUGGGAGCCCUUUCUGAAGAGUAUUUGAACUUGGGCAAAAUUGAAGACAGGGAGACUGAAUUUUGAACAGAAACCAGGAAAAACAAGGCAUAAAUGAAGGACUUCAGGAUCAUCAAGACAGAUCUGCCCAUCACUCUGACAAUGUUUGUGGAAACUCGGGUAAAGGAAGAAGCUAUUUCAGAGCAAGCUGUUUGCAAAAAUCUAAGUGUUAUAGGUGCCUUUGCCAAGUAACAGUCCUAUAAAAAUCUGAGAGUGACUUAUUCUUUCUUCUUUCUUUAGUUAAAAACAAAAUCAAGAAAACAAAACUAGAGAAGAAAGAGAACUAAAGGAACAGUAGGAGCUUGCAUCAAAAAACAAAGUGAAGAAAGACUUUGGGGCACUAAUCCAUAAAUGGGAUAUCCACACCACAGCCAUCUUCUCAAGUCUCAGGGGUCUAUGUGGAAGGGAGAGAAGAAAGAUUGUAAGCACCAGAGGCAGUGGGCAACUUCAUGUAAACAACAUCUUCCAGACACAAUAGGGCUGAUACACAUAGGGGUUCACAGAGAUUGUGAC